GGUUAAGCGACUAAGCGUACACGGUGGAUGCCCUGGCAGUCAGAGGCGAUGAAGGACGUGCUAAUCUGCGAUAAGCGUCGGUAAGGUGAUAUGAACCGUUAUAACCGGCGAUUUCCGAAUGGGGAAACCCAGUGUGUUUCGACACACUAUCAUUAACUGAAUCCAUAGGUUAAUGAGGCGAACCGGGGGAACUGAAACAUCUAAGUACCCCGAGGAAAAGAAAUCAACCGAGAUUCCCCCAGUAGCGGCGAGCGAACGGGGAGGAGCCCAGAGCCUGAAUCAGUGUGUGUGUUAGUGGAAGCGUCUGGAAAGGCGCGCGAUACAGGGUGACAGCCCCGUACACAAAAAUGCACAUAUUGUGAGCUCGAUGAGUAGGGCGGGACACGUGGUAUCCUGUCUGAAUAUGGGGGGACCAUCCUCCAAGGCUAAAUACUCCUGACUGACCGAUAGUGAACCAGUACCGUGAGGGAAAGGCGAAAAGAACCCCGGCGAGGGGAGUGAAAAAGAACCUGAAACCGUGUACGUACAAGCAGUGGGAGCACGCUUAGGCGUGUGACUGCGUACCUUUUGUAUAAUGGGUCAGCGACUUAUAUUCUGUAGCAAGGUUAACCGAAUAGGGGAGCCGAAGGGAAACCGAGUCUUAACUGGGCGUUAAGUUGCAGGGUAUAGACCCGAAACCCGGUGAUCUAGCCAUGGGCAGGUUGAAGGUUGGGUAACACUAACUGGAGGACCGAACCGACUAAUGUUGAAAAAUUAGCGGAUGACUUGUGGCUGGGGGUGAAAGGCCAAUCAAACCGGGAGAUAGCUGGUUCUCCCCGAAAGCUAUUUAGGUAGCGCCUCGUGAAUUCAUCUCCGGGGGUAGAGCACUGUUUCGGCAAGGGGGUCAUCCCGACUUACCAACCCGAUGCAAACUGCGAAUACCGGAGAAUGUUAUCACGGGAGACACACGGCGGGUGCUAACGUCCGUCGUGAAGAGGGAAACAACCCAGACCGCCAGCUAAGGUCCCAAAGUCAUGGUUAAGUGGGAAACGAUGUGGGAAGGCCCAGACAGCCAGGAUGUUGGCUUAGAAGCAGCCAUCAUUUAAAGAAAGCGUAAUAGCUCACUGGUCGAGUCGGCCUGCGCGGAAGAUGUAACGGGGCUAAACCAUGCACCGAAGCUGCGGCAGCGACACUAUGUGUUGUUGGGUAGGGGAGCGUUCUGUAAGCCUGCGAAGGUGUGCUGUGAGGCAUGCUGGAGGUAUCAGAAGUGCGAAUGCUGACAUAAGUAACGAUAAAGCGGGUGAAAAGCCCGCUCGCCGGAAGACCAAGGGUUCCUGUCCAACGUUAAUCGGGGCAGGGUGAGUCGACCCCUAAGGCGAGGCCGAAAGGCGUAGUCGAUGGGAAACAGGUUAAUAUUCCUGUACUUGGUGUUACUGCGAAGGGGGGACGGAGAAGGCUAUGUUGGCCGGGCGACGGUUGUCCCGGUUUAAGCGUGUAGGCUGGUUUUCCAGGCAAAUCCGGAAAAUCAAGGCUGAGGCGUGAUGACGAGGCACUACGGUGCUGAAGCAACAAAUGCCCUGCUUCCAGGAAAAGCCUCUAAGCAUCAGGUAACAUCAAAUCGUACCCCAAACCGACACAGGUGGUCAGGUAGAGAAUACCAAGGCGCUUGAGAGAACUCGGGUGAAGGAACUAGGCAAAAUGGUGCCGUAACUUCGGGAGAAGGCACGCUGAUAUGUAGGUGAAGCGACUUGCUCGUGGAGCUGAAAUCAGUCGAAGAUACCAGCUGGCUGCAACUGUUUAUUAAAAACACAGCACUGUGCAAACACGAAAGUGGACGUAUACGGUGUGACGCCUGCCCGGUGCCGGAAGGUUAAUUGAUGGGGUCAGCGCAAGCGAAGCUCUUGAUCGAAGCCCCGGUAAACGGCGGCCGUAACUAUAACGGUCCUAAGGUAGCGAAAUUCCUUGUCGGGUAAGUUCCGACCUGCACGAAUGGCGUAAUGAUGGCCAGGCUGUCUCCACCCGAGACUCAGUGAAAUUGAACUCGCUGUGAAGAUGCAGUGUACCCGCGGCAAGACGGAAAGACCCCGUGAACCUUUACUAUAGCUUGACACUGAACAUUGAGCCUUGAUGUGUAGGAUAGGUGGGAGGCUUGGAAGUGUGGACGCCAGUCUGCAUGGAGCCGACCUUGAAAUACCACCCUUUAAUGUUUGAUGUUCUAACGUUGACCCGUGAUCCGGGUUGCGGACAGUGUCUGGUGGGUAGUUUGACUGGGGCGGUCUCCUCCUAAAGAGUAACGGAGGAGCACGAAGGUUGGCUAAUCCUGGUCGGACAUCAGGAGGUUAGUGCAAUGGCAUAAGCCAGCUUGACUGCGAGCGUGACGGCGCGAGCAGGUGCGAAAGCAGGUCAUAGUGAUCCGGUGGUUCUGAAUGGAAGGGCCAUCGCUCAACGGAUAAAAGGUACUCCGGGGAUAACAGGCUGAUACCGCCCAAGAGUUCAUAUCGACGGCGGUGUUUGGCACCUCGAUGUCGGCUCAUCACAUCCUGGGGCUGAAGUAGGUCCCAAGGGUAUGGCUGUUCGCCAUUUAAAGUGGUACGCGAGCUGGGUUUAGAACGUCGUGAGACAGUUCGGUCCCUAUCUGCCGUGGGCGCUGGAGAACUGAGGGGGGCUGCUCCUAGUACGAGAGGACCGGAGUGGACGCAUCACUGGUGUUCGGGUUGUCAUGCCAAUGGCACUGCCCGGUAGCUAAAUGCGGAAGAGAUAAGUGCUGAAAGCAUCUAAGCACGAAACUUGCCCCGAGAUGAGUUCUCCCUGACCCUUUAAGGGUCCUGAAGGAACGUUGAAGACGACGACGUUGAUAGGCCGGGUGUGUAAGCGCAGCGAUGCGUUGAGCUAACCGGUACUAAUGAACCGUGAGGCUUAACCUU
rnacentral:rRNA from 1 species